rnacentral:rRNA from 1 species
UUCGGGGUGCCCAGGCGCGAAAACUUCACCAUGGGAGAAAUCCCGAUGAGGGAAUUCCAAGUGCUAGCACUAUGUGUUAGCUGUUCUUUUGUCUAAAAAACAGAAGAAGUAAGGGCCGGGUAAGACGGGUGCCAGCCGCCGCGGUAAUACCCGCGGCCCGAGUGGUGGUCGAUAUUAUUGAGCCUAAAACGUCCGUAGCCGGUCUUGUAAAUCCUUGGGUAAAUCGGCCAGCUUAACUGUCCGAAGUCCGGGGAGACUGCAAGACUUGGGAUCGGGAGAGGUCAGAGGUACUUCUGGGGUAGGGGUAAAAUCCUGUAAUCCUGGAAGGACCACCGGUGGCGAAGGCGUCUGACUAGAACGAAUUCGACGGUGAGGGACGAAGCCCUGGGGCGCAAACGGGAUUAGAUUCCCCGGUAGUCCAGGGUGUAAACGCUGCGGGCUUGGUGUUGGGGGUCCUUUGUGGGCGCCCAGUGCCGGAGAGAAGUUGUUAAGCCUGCUGCUUGGGGAGUACGUCCGCAAGGAUGAAACUUAAAGGAAUUGGCGGGGGAGCAC